CCUACGGGAGGCAGCAGUGGGGAAUAUUGCACAAUGAGCGCAAGCCUGAUGCAGCAACGCCGCGUGAAGGAAGACGGUUUUCGGAUUGUAAACUCCUGUUCUUAGUGAAGCAUAAUGACGGUAACUAAGGAGCAAGCCACGGCGAACUACGAGCCAGCAGCCGCGGAAAUACGUAGGUGGCAAGCGUUGUCCGGAUUUAUUGGGUUUAAAGGGUGCGUAGGCGGAAUGACAAGUCAGCGGUAAAAUGGCGGGGCUCAACCUCGCUCGGCCGUUGAAACUGGCGUUCUUGAGUGGGCGAGAAGUAUGCGGAAUGCGUGGUGUAGCGGUGAAAUGCAUAGAUAUCACGCAGAACUCCGAUUGCGAAGGCAGCAUACCGGCGCCCAACUGACGCUGAAGCACGAAAGCGUGGGUAUCGAACAGGAUUAGAUACCCCUGUAGUC
rnacentral:rRNA from 1 species